rnacentral:lncRNA from 1 species
UUUCCAAAUCAUGUCCAAUCAAUUGAAUUUACCACAGGUGGACACCAAUCAAGUUGUAGAAACAUUUCAAGGUCGCUCAAUAGAAACAGGAUGCACCUGAGCUCAAUUUCGAGUCUCAGAGCAAACGGUCUGAAUACUUAUGUAAGUAAAGUAUUUGUUUUUUAUUUUUAAUACAUUUGCAAAAAUGUCAAACUGUUUUCGCUUUGUCAUUAUGGGGUAUUGUGUGUAGAUUGCUGAGGAUUUUUUUUAUUUAACCAAUUUUAGAAUAAGGCUGUAAUGUAACAAAAUGUGGAAAAAGUCAAGGGAUCUGAAUACUUUCCGAAGGCACUGCAUGGCCUACUUUUUUACUUUAGUUUCGGUGCUUACGCAUUGCUCUGUCUACCUGGCCUCUGCCCACCAUUUGCUCAAUGGUUGAUUCUCUGUUUGCGUCAAGUGCACGUGAUCCUUUGCUCUGCGCUAGAGUGCCUGCUGCUGUUAUCCUCCCAGAAACGUGAUUGAUAAGACAGCAGCUGAUGCACUGAAGACCCUCCACAUUUUUUGGGCACUGAGCAAAUUUCAGGUUUGCUGAGUGCAAACUUGAACAUUGUGCAAAUUCUGUGUAACUUUCAGUGCGUGUUUACUGUGAACACUGAGGCUAUACCCUCUAAGGGUUGACGAUGCCUGCAUCUGAUGGUCAGUCUCAACGCAGGGAGAGAGCAGCAGACUGAGGGUCCGUCUCUCAACAUCCCUCUGCUGUCCCUUUCCUCCACUGACCAAAAAGGGACACAGUCUUCCUCCAGCUGAUGGCGAAACUCGAGUCGCAACGCAUUAUUUCUGCCUCAUGCACAAAUUCAUGUUACUCCUAUGAUCAGAGAAAGUUAAAUAUUCCUCUAUUUAAAAAAGACCCAAGCCGCUAACAAUAACAACGCAAGCCUAUAGAUACACUUUCCUACUCAUUCAUUACCGCUGCAGUGCUUGUUGUAGCGCUGAGUGGAAAUAGGAGUUUAUGCCUUAAAGUGUUGAAUAAGAAAGUGUUGACAGUGGUGAGUAAGAACUUAAACAUGAACUCACUCAUAAAAACAGCAGCUCUUCGCUGUAUUCGUUGACAGUUUCUCUUAACUUUGCUGUUGCUUUAGCCUCGAGACUGCUUUAUAUUUUAUUGCAGACAUGGUCACCUGAGCCAUCCGGUUGGCAAGCGGUGGGCCUAUAGUGCACUUGAUUUGCUCUCUGGGCCUGCCGGGAAUGCAGAGUUUGUACCUUCAGA